rnacentral:rRNA from 1 species
GGAAGUAAAAGUCGUAACAAGGUUUCCGUAGGUGAACCUGCGGAAGGAUCAUUAUUGAAUAAAAACUUGGUUGGAUUGUUGCUGGCCUGAAUGAGGGCAUGUGCACAUCUGCCAUCUUUUAUCUUUCCACCUGUGCACACUUUGUAGGUCUGGGAUUAAACUUUCUGAGGUCAACUCAGUUUUGAGGACUGCUGUUAGCAAUAAUGGCUUUCCUUGUCUUUCCAGAUCUAUGUUUUCAUAUACACCAUAAAAAUGUAAUAGAAUGUGUUAAUAAGCCUUGUGCUUAUAAACUAUAUACAACUUUCAGCAACGGAUCUCUUGGCUCUCGCAUCGAUGAAGAACGCAGCGAAAUGCGAUAAGUAAUGUGAAUUGCAGAAUUCAGUGAAUCAUCGAAUCUUUGAACGCACCUUGCGCUCCUUGGUAUUCCGAGGAGCAUGCCUGUUUGAGUGUCAUUAAAUUAUCAAUCUUUGCAGCUUUUGUUGUUAAAGACUUGGAUGUGGGGGUUUUAUUUGGAGGCUUUUCGGAGUGUCCUCCCCUAAAAUGUAUUAGCUAGUUGCUCGUGCGGACUUGUCUAUUGGUGUGAUAAUUAUCUACGCCAUGGACAGACUGCCAUUAAGUAGCACUGCUUCUAAUCGUCCUUUACUGGACAACUUAUGACAAUUUGACCUCAAAUCAGGUAGGACUACCCGCUGAACUUAAGCAUAUCAAUAAGCGGAGGA